AUUGAACGCUGGCGGCAGGCCUAACACAUGCAAGUCGAGCGGAUGAUGGGAGCUUGCUCCCGGAUUCAGCGGCGGACGGGUGAGUAAUGCCUAGGAAUCUGCCUGGUAGUGGGGGACAACGUUUCGAAAGGAACGCUAAUACCGCAUACGUCCUACGGGAGAAAGCAGGGGACCUUCGGGCCUUGCGCUAUCAGAUGAGCCUAGGUCGGAUUAGCUAGUUGGUGGGGUAAAGGCCUACCAAGGCGACGAUCCGUAACUGGUCUGAGAGGAUGAACAGUCACACUGGAACUGAGACACGGUCCAGACUCCUACGGGAGGCAGCAGUGGGGAAUAUUGGACAAUGGGCGAAAGCCUGAUCCAGCCAUGCCGCGUGUGUGAAGAAGGUCUUCGGAUUGUAAAGCACUUUAAGUUGGGAGGAAGGGCAGUAAGUUAAUACCUUGCUGUUUUGACGUUACCAACAGAAUAAGCACCGGCUAACUUCGUGCCAGCAGCCGCCGUAACAC
rnacentral:rRNA from 1 species